GAUGAACGCUGGCUACAGGCUUAACACAUGCAAGUCGAGGGGAAACGACGGGGAAGCUUGCUUCCUCGGGCGUCGACCGGCGCACGGGUGAGUAACGCGUAUCCAACCUGCCUCUGACUGAGGGAUAACCCGUCGAAAGUCGGCCUAAUACCUCAUGGCAUCGUCUGCGGGCAUCCAACGACGAUUAAAGAUUUCAUCGGUCAGGGAUGGGGAUGCGUCUGAUUAGCUUGUUGGCGGGGCAACGGCCCACCAAGGCGACGAUCAGUAGGGGUUCUGAGAGGAAGGUCCCCCACAUUGGAACUGAGACACGGUCCAAACUCCUACGGGAGGCAGCAGUGAGGAAUAUUGGUCAAUGGACGCAAGUCUGAACCAGCCAAGUAGCGUGCAGGAUGACGGCCCUAUGGGUUGUAAACUGCUUUUAUGUGGGAAUAAAGUGGCGCACGUGUGCGCCAUUGCAUGUACCUCAUGAAUAAGGACCGGCUAAUUCCGUGCCAGCAGCCGCGGUAAUACGGAAGGUCCGGGCGUUAUCCGGAUUUAUUGGGUUUAAAGGGAGUGUAGGCGGUCUGUUAAGCGUGUUGUGAAAUUUAGGUGCUCAACAUUUAACUUGCAGCGCGAACUGUCAGACUUGAGUACACGCAGCGCAGGCGGAAUUCAUGGUGUAGCGGUGAAAUGCUUAGAUAUCAUGAGGAACUCCGAUCGCGAAGGCAGCCUGCGGGAGUGUUACUGACGCUUAAGCUCGAAGGUGCGGGUAUCGAACAGG
rnacentral:rRNA from 1 species